rnacentral:rRNA from 1 species
UACGUAGGGGGCGAGCGUUGUCCGGAUUUAUUGGGCGUAAAGAGCUCGUAGGCGGUUCGGUAAGUCGGAUGUGAAAUCUCCACGCUCAACGUGGAGGGGCCAUUCGAUACUGCCGUGACUCGAGUCCGGUAGGGGAGUGUGGAAUUCCCGGUGUAGCGGUGAAAUGCGCAGAUAUCAGGAGGAACACCGGUGGCGAAGGCGGGUCUCUGGGCCGAUACUGACGCUGGAGGAGCGAAAGCGUGGGGAGCGAACAGG